rnacentral:rRNA from 1 species
UACGGGGGGAGCAAGCGUUGUUCGGAUUUACUGGGCGUAAAGGGCGCGUAGGCGGCCACCGCAAGUCGGUUGUGAAAUCUCCGGGCUUAACCCGGAAAGGUCAAUCGAUACUGCGGGGCUAGAGUGCAGAAGGGGCAACUGGAAUUCUCGGUGUAGCGGUGAAAUGCGCAGAUAUCGGGAAGAACACCCGUGGCGAAGGCGGUUCUCUGGGACGGUACUGACGCUGAGACGCGAAAGCGUGGGGAGCGAACAGG